rnacentral:rRNA from 1 species
GAUGAACGCUGGCGGGAGGCUUAAUACAUGCAAGUCGAACGGCAACAGGUCCUUCGGGGCGCUGGCGAGUGGCGGAGGGGUGAAUAACGCGUACACGAUCUACCCAUAAGUCUGGGAUAGUCACUGGAAACGGUGAAUAAUACCGGAAGUGAAUAUAAGUUUACAUGGGCAUAUAUUUAAAGGUUGAUCUGCUUAUGGAUGGGUGUGCGUCCUAUUACCUCGUUCGUGAGGUAAUGGCUCACCGUAGCGAUCAUCCGUAGGGGGCAUGAGAGCGUGGACCCCCACGAUGAUACUGAGACACGGACCCGACUCCUACGGGAGACUCCUACAAGGAAUAUUGGACAAUGACCUUGCGGGUGAUCCAACCAUCCCACGUGCCAGAACACCGCCCUCUAGGUUGGACUCUGCUUUUAUAAGGUAAGAACGGCCACAUAUGGAUGUGGUAUGACAGCACCUUAUGAAUAAGACCCGGCCCUCUCCGGACCCACCGCCUCAGUCUUACCGAGGGUGCACGCGUUUUCCGAAAUCGCUGGCGUUAAACGGAGCCUAGGCGGGUAUGUGAGUCGUGGGUGAAAGGUCACAGCUCGUCUGAGAUAUCGCCUUUGAAACUGUGUAACUUGAAUCACAUAGAGGUUAGUGGAAUGCCACAAGUAGCGGUGAAAUGCAUAGAUAUGUGGUGGAAUACCGAUUGCGAAGGCAGCUACCUGGGUGGUGAUUGACGCUGAGGCACGAAAGCGUGGGGAGCGAACAGGAUUAGAUACCCUGGUAGUCCACGCCCUAAACGAUGUUCACUAGAUGUCUGAUGUGUAGGCUCCAGCGUUUAAGCGAAACCCACAAGUUAACCACCUGGGGAGUACGUUCGCAAGAAUGAAACUCAAAGGAAUUGACGGGGGUCCGCACCACCGGUGGAGCAUGUGGUUUAAUUCGUUGAUACGCGAGGAACCUUACCUGGGCUCGAACGACAACCGGGUUAUCUCUGAAAGGGGAUAUUCCUUCGGGACUGGUAGUGAGGUGCUGCAUGGCCGUGGUCAGCUCGUGCCGUGAGGUGUUGGGUUAAGUCCCGCAACGAGCGCAACCCAACCCUUAGUUGCCAACCUUACCUAGGUAAGAGGGACUCUGGGAAGACUGCUUCGGUAAAGGAGAGGAAGGUGGGGAAGAAGUCAAGUCAUCCUGGCCCUUAUGCCCAGGGCUCCCCCCCUGGUUCAAAGGCAGGUUCAACGGGCAGGGAUCACGCGAGUGUCAGCUAAUUUCCAAAAACCCGUUUCAAUUUCGAAUGAAGUUUGCAACCUGACUUCCAGAAGUUGGAAUCGCUUGUAAUCGCGCAUCAACCACGGCGCGGUGAAUACGUUCCCGGACCUUGUACUCACCGCC